rnacentral:rRNA from 1 species
GUGGGGAAUCUUCCGCAAUGGACGAAAGUCUGACGGAGCAACGCCGCGUGAGUGAUGAAGGUCUUCGGAUUGUAAAGCUCUGUUAAUCGGGACGAAAGAGCCUAGUGUGAAUAAUGCUAGGAAGUGACGGUACCGGAAUAGAAAGCCACGGCUAACUACGUGCCAGCAGCCGCGGUAAUACGUAGGUGGCAAGCGUUGUCCGGAAUUAUUGGGCGUAAAGCGCGCGCAGGCGGAUCUGCCAGUCUGUCUUAAAAGUUCGGGGCUUAACCCCGUGAUGGGAUGGAAACUACAGAUCUAGAGUAUCGGAGAGGAAAGCGGAAUUCCCCGUGUAGCGGUGAAAUGCGUAGAUAUGGGGAGGAACACCAGUGGCGAAGGCGGCUUUCUGGACGGUGUCUGACACUGAGGCGCGAAAGCCAGGGGAGCGAACGGGAUUAGAUACCCCUGUAGUCC